rfam:Schistosoma margrebowiei strain Zambia genome assembly, scaffold: SMRZ_contig0002951
AUCCAGCUGAUGAGUCCCAAAUAGAAUGAAACGCGAGUUGUGGAU